ACCUUAUGCCAUGCAAUAGUUAUGUUGCCACAGUUUCUGUCAAGUCUUUAAUUUUCGAAGUGGGUGGGAUUAUUGAGCGAACACUUUACGCAAGUACGGAAUAUUCACAUAUUGAUGUGAAAUUUAACUCUUUAUCCCAGAGUAGCUGCUCAAUGGUGGAAACCGCUGAUCUACGGCAUAUUUGCAAUAAGAGUGAUAUGAUUUUUUUUUUAAAUAAAAAGCACUCAUUUUUAAGGUAA